GCUCAGUGAUGCAAUGCCAGUGGGCCCUUCUGACCCUCCACUGUGGACUCGGAACCAGGGAGACGAAAAGGAAAGUGACUGAGAAA